rnacentral:tRNA from 1 species
GCCGGGGUGGCGGAAGAGGGUAGACGCGGGGGACUUAAAAUCCCUUAAGCUAUGUGCUUGUGCGGGUUCGAGUCCCGCCCCCGGCA